ACCUGUGCAGGAUUACUGUCAGAAAUGGUAUUCGGUUCGGAAUCAGAAUCAACAAGAAGUUCAAUAUUUUUGGCACCCCCUGACGGCGGUCUGGAAGCCUGUCCAUUAACAGUUCCACUUUUAAUAUUGUUGGUUUGCACAUCCCUUUCAGGACAGCCAAAUCCAUUUUGAUUUAAUCUAUCCACAGAAUUACUGCAUGGCUUAGUUGCACAUGUAUAUCUUUGAUUAUCACCGCCAACAUUUUCUUUCUGCUGAGGUUUACUAUCUCCAGCUGACUGGUUAGACCGAGCCUUCUUCAGAGGGCCUGCCAAAUCAUUCUCAUCAUCACUUACACCUUCAUUGUAUGAAACAUUCUGCCGACGCCGAGAUGAUCUCCUAGCGCCAUAGGCAUCAAGUCCAAUUCCUUGUCCAGCAGGUGGAUUGCAUCCAUUUUCAAUCUCCACAUCUUU
rnacentral:lncRNA from 1 species